UUGAAAUUAAGCUUCUCUUUGAUUCCUGACUCUCCUGUCUCUAGCCUGCUCUGUUUGGUUCCAGCCAUCCAUAGAUUAGAGGCUGGUUUAAUCUGAUUGACAUUGAUAGGUGUCAGAAGUGGUAUUGGAUGUGGAACUGGCAUCGUUGGACUCUGGCACCAGUGGGAACAGACUAGGCAGCACCAGAGAUGUAUUUCUUCAGAGUCCGACCCCCAUUGUCUAGUGAGUGCUGUGUCCUUCUCCCUGCUCCAAUGCCAGGGCUUUCGCCUUGGUUGAGCUCGCUGUUCUUUGUGAGAAAAACUCCAGGGCUCCUCUAGUGACCUAGUUUGCCUUGGAUCACUCUGAUCAUCUGAAGAAAGCCCCUGCUCCUGAGUGGAUGGCAGAAUCCUCCAGAGACUUCGAGAUUCAUCUAGUAUGGACCUAGAAGCAGCUGACAUCCAGAUGUCCCAAGAUUCUGGAUGAGGGCUGAGUAUAGUGCCCUAGUUUUUUCUCCUCUUCUCUUUCCUUAUGUGCCUAACCCCCAAGGCUCCAAUUCAAACACGUGCUGGCAUUUUCUCCCUCUACAUUCUCCCUCCCCCAACUGCCCAUUGCUGCUUGCAAGCAAACAAUGGCUAGCAAUGAUACCUGGGACACACUUAACUGACCCCCUGGGAUAAAAUGCUUGUCCUAGCCCAACUGGCCUCUUGUGGCAUCUUGGUUUAUAUCAGCCUCUCCUUUAUUGGCCACAAGGGGAGGGGUUCUUUCAGACCCCCUCUAUUUGGCCAAAAGGGGGAAAUGUCAAGAUAUUAGGAGACACUUUGUUUUCCAAUACCUAAGGCCCAACAAGCAAGUUGUUCUCUGUGCUUGGCCUAACAACAAUACUUUAUGCUCACCCUCUGGAUGAUCUCACCCUCUGGCAAAAACAUAUUGCUUUGACCAAUAACAGGUAUUAUCUGAGCUUGGACAAGUACCCAUGUUCCAGCCAUGAAGCCCUGCUAUGACUCAAAGUUGUAGCAUUGUUGCUGUUAUCUCUCAUUGUUAGGACUACAGCUCACUGUGUAGCCAUUAGUAUAAGUAUUGAGAUCUCCCCGCAGUGCCUCGAAUCCCUCCAUUAGGGAUGGGGCCUUGGCACGUGUGUCUAAUCUCCCUUCUUGCUUGCAAGCUAUUUUGAAAUUAAACUUGUCUUUGAUUCCUGA